rnacentral:rRNA from 1 species
GCGUGUGUGAAGAAGGUUUUCGGAUUGUAAAGUCCUUUCGGCGGGGACGAUGAUGACGGUACCCGCAGAAGAAGCCCCGGCUAACUUCGUGCCAGCAGCCGCGGUAAUACGAAGGGGGCUAGCGUUGCUCGGAAUGACUGGGCGUAAAGGGCGCGUAGGCGGACCUAUCAGUCAGACGUGAAAUUCCUGGGCUUAACCUGGGGGCUGCGUUUGAGACGGUGGGUCUGGAGUUUGGAAGAGGGUCGUGGAAUUCCCAGUGUAGAGGUGAAAUUCGU